CAACCCUUCGACCUUAGUUGCCAGCAUUCGAGUUGGGCACUCUAAGGUGACGUGCGGCUAAAGUCGAGGAAGGUGGGGAUGACGUCAAAUCAUCAUGCCCCUUAUGACCUGGGCUACACACGUGCUACAAUGGGCGGUACAAAGGGUCGCGAACCCGCGAGGGGGAGCCAAUCCCAAAAAGCCGCUCUCAGUUCGGAUUGCAGGCUGCAACUCGCCUGCAUGAAGCCGGAAUCGCUAGUAAUCGCGGAUCAGCAUGCCGCGGUGAAUACGUUCCCGGGCCUU
rnacentral:rRNA from 1 species